CACGGGGGGAGCGAGCGUUGUUCGGAAUCACUGGGCGUAAAGGGCGUGUAGGCGGCUCGGUAAGUGGGAUGUGAAAUCCCCCGGCUUACCCGGGGAACGGCAUCCCAAACUGCUGGGCUUGAGUGUGGGAGAGGAUGGGGGAAUUCCUGGUGUAGCGGUGAAAUGCGUAGAUAUCAGGAGGAACACCGGUGGCGAAGGCGCCCAUCUGGCCCAUUACUGACGCUGAGGCGCGAAAGCUAGGGGAGCAAACGGG
rnacentral:rRNA from 1 species